rnacentral:rRNA from 1 species
UACAGAGGUCUCAAGCGUUGUUCGGAUUCAUCGGGCGUAAAGGGGGCGUAGGUGGCGCCGUAAGUCGGGUGUGAAAUUGCGGAGCUUAACUCCGAAACUGCAUUCGAUACUGCGGUGCUUGAGGACUGGAGAGGAGACUGGAAUUCACGGUGUAGCAGUGAAAUGCGUAGAUAUCGUGAGGAAGACCAGUGGCGAAGGCGGGUCUCUGGACAGUUCCUGACACUGAGGCACGAAGGCCAGGGGAGCAAACGGG